UACGGAGGGAGCUAGCGUUGUUCGGAAUUACUGGGCGUAAAGCGCACGUAGGCGGCUUUGUAAGUUAGAGGUGAAAGCCCAGUGCUCAACACUGGAACUGCCUUUAAGACUGCAUCGCUUGAAUCCAGGAGAGGUGAGUGGAAUUCCGAGUGUAGAGGUGAAAUUCGUAGAUAUUCGGAAGAACACCAGUGGCGAAGGCGGCUCACUGGACUGGUAUUGACGCUGAGGUGCGAAAGCGUGGGGAGCAAACAGG
rnacentral:rRNA from 1 species